rnacentral:rRNA from 1 species
GAAGACGCAUGACGGUACACCAAGAAUAAGAGACGGCUAACUACGUGCCAGCAGCCGCGGUAAUACGUAGGUCUCAAGCGUUAUCCGGGUUUGCUGGGCGUAAAGUAUCCGUAGCCUGAUAUGUAAGUCUGUUUUCAAAUCCCACGACUCAAUCGUGGAAAGGGAAUGGAUACUGCAUAUCUAGAAGUUAUUGGGGGUUAGUGGAAUUUCCGGUGGAGUGGUGAAAUGCGUUGAUAUCGGAAAGAACGCCGAAAGCGAAAGCAGCUAACUAUGAUUAACUUGACGGUGAGGGAUGAAAGUUUGGGUAGCAAACGGGAUUAGAUACCCCGGCAGUCCAAACUGUAAAUUAUGCUUGCUAGGUGUUUCGAUCCUUGUGGUCGGAGUGCCGUAAUCUAACGAGUUAAGCAAGUCGCCUGGGUAGUAUAUUCGCAAGAAUGAAACUCAAAGGGAUAGGCGGGGGAACACACAAGCAGUGGAUUAUCUAGAUUAAUUGGAUAAUAAGCCAAGAAUCUUACCUAGAAUUGACAUGCAUUGUGUCUCAUAUGAAAGUAUGAUAUUUGUAGCAAUACAGAGCUUUGCACAGGUGGUGCAUGGUCGUCGUCAGCUCGUGCCGCAAGGUGUCCAGUUAA